rnacentral:tRNA from 1 species
GGUUGUGUGGCUCAAUCGGUAGAGCAUCAUGCUAAAAACGUGAAGGUUGUGAGUUCGAGUCUCACGGCGACCA